UUCUUCCUGUUUGUUGCCAUCCCUGGAGGGACUGACUCACCAUUCUGCUCCUCUGGACUGCUUUCCUGUUUGUUGUGACCACCAUGUGCUCAUUGGGCUCACUUGAACCCCAUAAGCAUUCGCUGCAGUUCAGCAGCUCACCAUAUGCUUUUGUGAAGGAACAUUUUGCACCUGCCACCAUAAUGCAGGAAAAAUGCCAGCUUUGCAGGAGAAAACAUUAACUAAUUUACACAAAGCCUUAGGUGGUCUAUUAGCCCUGCAUAAAAACAAGGACAUGUAAUUACUGGAUCCACAGACAGAAUUAAAUUUGAUUGACUACAAAGAAGCAAUGAGUGGAGCAAUUAACAACAAAGCCCAAGUAAACUCCUCUGAUCUGGAACCUGCAGCCUGGGUGAAGGAUGCUGACUGCACAGUGUCUGCUUCUGCCAUCCUGAGAGGCAUGCCCACGCCAAGCCCUGAAGCCAACACAAACAGGACCCUUUCACGCUUGACUUGUUGGAUUGUGUGUACAAGCAGGAGGAGAAAAGUGCCCUCAGAGCACGUGUGGUCUUCCUAGUCCUGACUGGACACAGUGAAGACAGCCAUGGUCCUGCUUUUUGAGGAACACCUUGAGUCACAAUGUGUUCCUCAAAAGCAGCAGAAGUGAAACAGAGCUAAGCAUGCCCGGGUGAAAGGCACCAACACAGAAACACCACUUGGGAGACUCUGCUCAAAAGAGCCAAGGGAUUCCCUUUGGGAAGAGGUGAGCUGUGGAGCUGUGCUUGUGGCUGUCCCGCAAAGGUCAAUGUCACCCUGCUGAGCACAGCAGGAACUGAGUAAGGAAGCCUUACACAGAACUGUAGGGAGGCAGCACCCCAGCCACUGCUGAGACUGCUCCCCUGUUGUGGGGCGGAGGCCAACUUUGACAGUCCUGCUCCUUUUGCAAUGAGUUUAGCUCUCAGGUCUCCGUUACUGUGCUGUGCUCCCAGGGGUGACAUUUGGGGCUGUUGUGAAGCACAGGCUCUCUAGCAUUGCAAACGGCCCCAGCCUGUGCUUUUCAUGCAGCUGUUUAAUGAGGCCUGCUGUCAUUACAGCAAAAUGACUCAAGGACUCUCUUAAAAAAGCCUCUUAUUUAUAGUGUCAUAGAUUACCUUAAUGCCUUUUUACUGGGAGGUGCUUUGAAAUAUUGCACAAACAUUACAAGCGAGUCCUGAAAUAACGUGAAUUUAAACUGAAUCUAGCAAGGAAAACAUAAAUGUUGGCUGCAAGAGAAAGCAUUUGUUGAAGUUUGCUGGAAUCUUCAGCAGAGGAAUGUUUUUAUUAUGAGCAUCCAUUCCUGAGUUGGAGUUCUACUGUGUACCUUGCACACGGGGGUCAGUACAAGUGUGUAUCUUAAAACAAGUUCCUGAUGAAGAGAUUUAUUUGUGUGAAAGUGUAAAGAUGAGCACAGAUUUUCUCCUACCAGCAAAGUUACCUAAACCCCAACGUUACAAAGCAUUCACCCAUGAUAACUCAGAAAGCAAGAGUUACAUUUUCCAGGCAGUGUCUUAGUGUUCAAAGAGAAUACCAAAAGCCUGCAUUAAUAUCCAGUCCUCUUCAGAGCUGUGCGUAACUCUGGCUAAAAUCUCUCAGCUGUACCACCUCACUCUGAAGUUUUCCUUCAGACAUUCAUGUAUUCUUGUUUUGCUGUUAGCUUUAUCCCUGCUGCUACUCCACAACUUACUCAGAAUUAACUCUGACUUCUACUAGCACACCCAGCUCCUUCUAUGCUCUCCACCACAUUUUGAUGGCAUUUUCUUUUGGUAAAAUGUUUUUGUAUCAUGUCCAUUUCCCCACUGAAUUUGAUAGCAUUAGUUUUAAUUUGUGCUUUAGUCUGUAGUGGAGAGAUGGAAAAUAAGACUUGUACCAACCUCUGUGUGUGUGUUAACAGGCUUUUUCUUGCCAGAUAAACAGAGCCCAAAAGAGCCCUCCAUGAACUGUAGCUACAGAUCCCUGCUUGAACAAGAGAAAUAUCUGAAGUGCCUAUCUGGUGAAUAAAGGAGAUAUUCAGGCCAUGUUGAUUUAAACCUGGCCAACUCCUCAUGUUCCUACAGUGGCUAAUUACAGGUGGAACCUUAAAUGGAAAUGUAUUAAUCAGAGUAGGAUCUGCUGCCAGCACCCUUCCCGUCAAAACUCACAAAGCAGCAAGGAAAUGAAGUGGUAACAACAGGCUUUCCAUUUAGCCUCUAAAUCUUUUCCUCUUAGGUAUCCAUAUUUUAACGUAGGAGACGUUUUGAUCAUCUUAAACACAGCCUUUAAACAUUCUGUAAUUAUACUUCUUGGUUUAUCUAUGUAAAAUGCCAAGGAAUUAGAACAAGCCUUAUUCCUCCAGGUUAAGCCCCACUUUGACUCAAAGCCAUGCAGGGAAGACAGUGGCUAACAGCAUGGCUAGAAAGCAGCCGUGGAGCAGAGGGUUGUCCCUAUACCAGGCAGUCCCCGUGGGGCAGAGCAGGGGGAAACCUAGGGUACAUGUGCCCUUUGAAGGUUGGAGGGCUGGAUGUGCUCCCUGCCAACAGCCCACACAUCUCUGGGGCUGGCUUGGCUGGGAGAACUUGCCUUUCUUGACUACUUGCUCAUUUAGCUUUUCCUCAACCUUUGGUGAAAUUCUCGUAUGGGAUGUGGCAUUUGUGAGCCAUGGAUUAUACUUGAACAUGGGAAGAAAUUUGGAAAGACAGGAGUACAUUGGGGCUUGAGUGUCUUCAUUCUCACCUGCCAACACAGCCUCCUAGAAAAAGACUUUUCAAAUAGUCAUUGUAAUGAAUUUGUGGAGGGUCUGGCUCCUGUCUUGCAGACAGAUCUAUGUCAUACUCCCCUUUGUUUGCUACAUCUGUGAAGCAGCCAUUAUUUCUCCAUAGUGCAAGUGCUCUCUUUUCUGUUGCUUCCCCUGCCACACAGUGCCACGUUCAUUGCUCCUUCGAAAAUUUCAAGAAAGAGAAGCAAUUUGUAAGGAUGACAAGAAAAUGGCUUCUCAUUUAUGUCCACCACAGCAAUCUGUGACACAGGCUCUGGUGAAAUCCACAAAUCCUAAUUCCCGCUGAGUUUCAAGCAGUCCAGAUUAAAGAAAGGAAAAAAAAAAAACCCCAACCCCCAAACACAUAGACCAGUUUGAUCAUAAUGAUUCUAAUUUGGCACAGGUUAAUUGAGAAGUCAGAUUUCCUGCUAUCACUUCUGGAGAGGAGGGAGAUAAGGGAACACAAUGACUCUUUAUCAACAGUAUGGGGACUUCAUUUAAAGAGAGAGCAUUAGGUUACAGGCUAGAAGAUUAGUAGCAAUCAGACUGCUCUCAGAAAAGAAAAUGCACUGGGUAAUAAAGAUAGAAGGCAUGAAGCUGGAUGCAUAGAAAUGAGGCUUGAUGCCAAAUGUUGCUGGUCAAAU